rnacentral:tRNA from 1 species
AAGGUGCUAGUGUAAAGUGAAAACACUGCCUUGUCAAGGCAGAGCUGUGGGUUAAACCCCCGCGCACCUUG